UCUCAGGUCAAAUGUCCAACGCUUAGUAAAUUGUUUUCACUUUUCAGCAAGUGAUACACAAACACUUAGCCAAAUCAAAUGAAAACAUAAUACUCACCCUUAGCUUUUCCCUUUUUUGUGCCACUCAUCACCCCCAAAUCAGAGAAAGGGUUCGCCAUCACCACUCACCACUCACGGCGUCACCACUCACCACUCACCAUCUUCACCACUCACUCAUCUUCAUCACUCACCACGCCACCACUCAUCUUUAUCGUCGCUUUUUUUGCUGCGCACUCACAUCAGGAAGACUCUGCGCUCAUCUGAAAGCCUCUCUUUAUUCGUUUACCAUCGCCAAGAAGGAGAACUUGUGAAUUUGGGGUUUCAUUCCGUUAUUGUUGUGGCGCAUGAGAACUCGUGAAUUUGGGAUUGUUGCGGCGCAGGAGAACUCAUAAAUUUGGGAGUUUUAUUCCGUUUAACGCAGGCUGCACUUGUUGGAGGUGCAGAAAAUUUGCCCAUCUUUUUAUCACGUCAUCAUAUUCCCGGGCGUGAUAUUGUUAUGGAUCCAUGCGCAGCAAUCGUGACAUUUAUUAUCACUGCACUCUUUUGUUUUGGAAUUAAAGAGGAUAAUUCUAAAGAUUUGAUGAAUAUUGAGAUGUUUAUCAUGAUGAUUUAUUGGCAAAGAUGGAGUUGGUGUUAGAAAUUGAAAGAUGUUACACGACUGCCUUCCAGUUUCUCUAUCCUCCAGCUGAGCUCCUUCGCGAGCAAUGUCAAGUUAAAGAAUUAUGGGCUUCCAUAUGAGACUUGCGAUGUCAAUAGAAAGUGUGUACCUUCUUGUGAAUAAUUAUGCAUAAUGGUCUCCCAAUGAAUUAGAACCUUCAUGAAAGAAUAGUUCAAAUUUCACCUAUUUGUUCCAUAUGUCAGCUUCUGCCUGAGUCUAUACAACACUGUCUCCUCUCAUAUGAGCACUCCUUAAAGGUAUGGCAAGUCUCUGAACUGCAAAUUCCCAAUUUUAAUUCACAAAUUGAAAUUUGGAGAUGGCGGAUGGAAUUAAUUAAAGAGAUCAGACAUAGAAAAAGAAAUAAAGAGAGGAUUUUAGGUUGCGUUUGUUUUUAAAGAUAAGACAGGAUAUUAUACUAAGACAGCGCAAUAAAACGGAGAUACUAAAACUUAUUUUUUGUGU